GACAGAGGGUGCAAACGUUGUUCGGAAUUACUGGGCGUAAAGCGUGUGUAGGCGGCCGCGUAAGUCGGAUGUGAAAGCCCUGGGCUCAACCCAGGAAGUGCACUCGAUACUGCGUGGCUCGAGUACUGGAGAGGUUGGCGGAAUUCUCGGUGUAGAGGUGAAAUUCGUAGAUAUCGGGAGGAACACCAGUGGCGAAGGCGACUUCCUGGCCUGUUCUUGACGCUGAGGCGCGAAAGCUAGGGUAGCAAACGGG
rnacentral:rRNA from 1 species